GGCCUGCACUUCAGUCUACGUCUGGUACUAGGCCUUUAUUUUAUUGUAUGGCAUUACUGCUUCAAGAAAUAUAUUUUUAGUCAUGGGCAAGACCUAAAAACAUAUCUGGUUGCUUUCCAAAGUCUGAAACGUUGUUUUUUUAAUCUCAAGAUGCAGGGUACGGGGAGCAAAGCCUACAGAAAUGGCCUGCUAAGUGAGAAGCAUUUAAACAACUUGUAACAGCAUACAAUUCACUAGGUCACAAUGUUCAGUUUAAAAGCUGUGUUUUCUAAGCCCUUAAUUUUAUCAGAACUUUAAAUAUAGGAUAAAUGCUUUUAUGCCUGUAGAAGAUGCAAUUAGAGUUCCACCAUUUAACAAGAGCCAGAAACAGCAACAAUUUCAGUGGCCAUGGCUAGGUUUUGCCUUCUAAUUGUAUGCUUUCUCUUCCCAGCUCCACCCAGCAUGUGCAUGUGAAGCCGACCAUAUCUAAAGCUAUGGCAAGGAAACUACAUGGGUGUGGUCCCAGCUAAGCCCAGCCACGUCUCUGCAGGGUGCUGACUGCUCCGGGAGGAGGAAAGCAUGAAACAGGAACAACAGUUCUGUGUCCUUUGCAUGAGUAACAGAUGUUUUGAAAGAGCUGCAAGAGACCAAGAUCUCCAUAUAAUUUUUCAGAUAAAUAAGAAGAGCUUCAUGCUGAUAUGGGAAGUGUCAGAAAGCCUUGAAGACACUCAGAGAACUCAAGGGAACCCUUAUCUCAUCUGCAUAUGGUGUUCACAAAGGGCCUGCUGGAAGAUCCAAGUCCAGUCUGCACUCAUGAAGCACCUGCUCUGCAGAGGAAUUCAUCUUAGCCCCAGAUCCUGCAAGCUGAGAUAUUUAUACAGCCUAAACCCAGAGUCUCUGAGGAGCAACUAGGAUUACCAAACCAUUAAAUUUUGGAUGAGCAGGCCUAUUAAACACAGAAUAGAGACUGAACCCAAAACUCGAAGCUGAUGGUGUUUUCUGAAAUGGCCACGUACCAGCUGCAGUGCUGUUGGUAUGUGUUCUGCUGUUGGUUUGAAGGGAGUAGGAUGUGACCUGUGGUACCGUUCAUGGUAGGGCAUUGCAAGCAUGCUACCAUUUAGGGAUCUACUCAUUCUCUAAUAUGCACCCUGAAAAUGCUGCAACACUGUUUAUUGUCUUUAUUAAGGUUGUGCCUGGUUUAUGCUAAUUUUGAUAGAGGAAAGACCAUGUUCUGUAUCACUUAUGCAUAUUUAUG
rnacentral:lncRNA from 1 species